rnacentral:tRNA from 1 species
GUAGCUCAGCGGUAGAAUGCAUGCCUUGCAAGCAUGAAGCCCUGGGUUCGAUUCCUCAGC